rnacentral:rRNA from 1 species
UACGUAGGGGGCGAGCGUUGUCCGGAUUUAUUGGGCGUAAAGAGCGUGUAGGCGGUUCGGUAAGUCUGUCGUGAAAUCCUGGGGCUCAACCCCGGGCGUGCGAUGGAUACUGCCGGGCUAGAGGACGGUAGAGGCGAGUGGAAUUCCCGGUGUAGCGGUGAAAUGCGCAGAUAUCAGGAAGAACACCCGUGGCGAAGGCGGCUCUCUGGGACGGUACUGACGCUGAGACGCGAAAGCGUGGGGAGCGAACAGG